GACGUAGGGCGCGAGCGUUGUCCGGAUUUAUUGGGCGUAAAGAGCUCGUAGGCGGCUUGUCGCGUCGUUCGUGAAAACCUGCAGCUCAACUGCAGGCUUGCGGUCGAUACGGGCAGGCUAGAGUUCGGUAGGGGAGACUGGAAUUCCUGGUGUAGCGGUGAAAUGCGCAGAUAUCAAGAGGAACACCUGAGGUGAAGACGGGUUGCUGGGCUGACACUGACGCUGAGGCGCGAAAGCCAAGGGAGCAAACGGG
rnacentral:rRNA from 1 species